UCCCCGGUAGCUCAGCGGUAGAGCUAGCGACUGUUAAUCGCUCGGUCGGCGGUUCGAAUCCGUCCCGGGGAGCCA
rnacentral:tRNA from 1 species